rnacentral:rRNA from 1 species
UACGAAGGGGGCUAGCGUUGUUCGGAUUUACUGGGCGUAAAGCGCACGUAGGCGGAUCGUUAAGUUAGGGGUGAAAUCCUGGAGCUCAACUCCAGAACUGCCUCUAAUACUGGCGAUCUAGAGUCCGGAAGAGGUGAGUGGAACUCCUAGUGUAGAGGUGGAAUUCGUAGAUAUUCGCAAGAACACCAGUGGCGAAGGCGGCUCACUGGCCCGGUACUGACGCUGAGGUGCGAAAGCGUGGGGAGCAAACAGG